rnacentral:rRNA from 1 species
UACGUAGGGUGCAAGCGUUGUCCGGAAUUAUUGGGCGUAAAGGGCUCGUAGGCGGUUUGUCACGUCGGGAGUGAAAACUCGGGGCUUAACCCCGAGCCUGCUUCCGAUACGGGCAGACUAGAGGUAUGCAGGGGAGAACGGAAUUCCUGGUGUAGCGGUGAAAUGCGCAGAUAUCAGGAGGAACACCGGUGGCGAAGGCGGUUCUCUGGGCAUUACCUGACGCUGAGGAGCGAAAGUGUGGGGAGCGAACAGG